rnacentral:rRNA from 1 species
UACGUAGGGUGCAAGCGUUGUCCGGAGUUAUUGGGCGUAAAGGGCUCGUGGGCGGUCCGUCACGUCGGGAGUGAAAACUUGGGGCUUAACCCCAAGCCUGCUUCCGAUACGGGCGGACUAGAGGUAGGCAGGGGAGAACGGAAUUCCUGGUGUAGCGGUGAAAUGCGCAGAUAUCAGGAGGAACACCGGCGGCGAAGGCGACAUCCUGGACCGGUAUUGACGCUGAGGCGCGAAAGCCAGGGGAGCAAACGGG